GGAAGGAAGAAGAGGAAGAGGAGGCGAGAGAGCGAGAGAGAGAGAGAGGGAGAGGUAGACACUAGACAGGCAGACAGACAGACAGUGAGGGGCGCUGAGGCCAGGAAAGAUGGCUGCCUGUGUUUUGAGUCCCGUAAAGACCGAGGCACAAAUCCUUCACAAUUCCAUGCUAGAGGAGGACCCGAACGAUAAUUCCGCCACAAAUGAGGAGGAGAAGAUAAAGCCUCGCUGGGGGCCAUACCACAAGGGCGCCAAGGAGCUCGCCAGUCUCUACAGCAGGGGUAAGCGUACCCAGGAGAUCGUGUGUGUGUGCAUCUGUAUCACGCUGAUGGUGGUCAAUCUGUACUUCAUGGCGGUGCACUUCAAGUUUGAGAAGGUCACCUCUAUCUUCCUGGUGGCGCUGGCCGGCAUCUUCACUGCAGACUUUGCCUCGGGCCUGGUGCACUGGAUGGCUGACACCUGGGGCUCUGUGGAGCUGCCCGUGCUGGGAAAGAACUUCAUCCGGCCAUUCCGAGAGCACCACAUUGACCCGACCUCCAUCACGCGACACGACUUCAUAGAGACCAACGGGGACAACUUCAUGCUCACCAUCCCCGGCCUCACCUACAUCACCUGGAACUUCUGCUCCCAAAGUAACGAGGAGGUGCAGAGUAACUACUACUGGUUCGCAUAUCUCUACCUCCUCGCCCUCUUUGUCGCCCUCACUAACCAGAUACACAAGUGGUCUCACACAUAUUUUGGCUUGCCACGCUGGGUCACCAUAUUGCAGGACCUGCACAUCAUCCUUCCCAAGAGGCACCACCGCAUUCACCACGUGGCUCCCCAUGAGACCUACUUCUGUAUAACCACGGGCUGGCUCAAUCUCCCCCUGGAAAAAGUUCGGUUCUGGCCAGCGCUGGAGUACUUGAUAGAGCUGGUCACUGGUUGCCGCCCCAGAGCAGAUGACUUCAAGUGGGCCCAGAAGCGAGAGUGACGUCCGGGUGUGGUGGCGCCACGCGGUAGACACAAGCCACUGCCUCCCACGAAACCGUUGCCUCGAGUGAGGAAGCCCAACCUACACUCGGACCGUGGACAGGAUUCGAACCCGUGGCCUUGGAGACCCCUCGGACCCCAAAGCACGCAUGGUUCCACUGUACCACGAUGGUUGUGUUGGGUUUGUUCCUUUAAGGUCUUCACACUGUUGGUCGGUCACACAGACAGACAGACAGACAAGUAGAUGGUUCUUUUGUAUAUUUAGAUUAAUUUGAUUCUCUCAUUUUAUCUCAAUUAUUCAGAAAGGAGAGAUUUUAUUGUCUUGUUUGAUUCUGUUUUAUUAUAUUCAGAUUGACAGUGAACUUCAGAACUGAGACUUUGAUUAAUAGUGAGUUUUUAAAAGGAGAGAAAAUAUUGCAAUUAAUAUAUCUUUAUCUUUGUUUUUAUCUAUCUUAAAUAUAAGAGUAACAAGGAGAGAAGCUUGAAUGAUUUACAAGUUAUCAGAUGUAAAGGAGUGGACAAAAUGCAAACUGUGUUAUCAUUAUUAUCAUUCACUUUAGUAUUUAUCUUUUCCUGGUAGUGCUUGUUUGGUCCGAGGGAAUCAGUAUGUAUCAUGUGUGUGUAUUUGUAUGGGUUUCAUAGAUAUUUGUACACCAUUGUCAUUAUUAGUAGUAGUGGAAGCCUCACAAGGGCCAACAGGUGUGCUGCUGCUGCUUCUGCUGCUGUUUGUUCUUCCUUUGUGUUCCUUUGUGUAGCAGGUCAUGUUCUCACCUGUCCCUCUGAUUGGUGCUGUUAAUGAGUCUUGUAGCAGGUGUGUGUGUGUGCGUUUGUUACUAUGUAUUCUUCAUUCAUUAAUUUCUUUUGUCAUUAUUUUGCUAAGCAUUAUGAAGGUGUUUUUUUUUAUUUAAGUUGCAUAUUUAUUGUAUUAUUUUCAUGAGUUGUUAUUCAUUAAAUUGUUGUCUCUUCUAAUAAUAUUAUCAUGUCAACAUUUUGUCAAACUUUCGUACGGUUUGAAAAGUUAUUGUACACGCAAGGCUCUCUAUGACACAAGUACGAGUAUGUUAUGUAUUCACUUCAUUGUCAACACCACACCUUGUCUUUCAAGAUUAUUAUUAUUAUUAUUAUUAUUAUUAUUAUUAUUAUUAUUAUUAUUAUUAUCAUUAUGAGUAUCACAUCAUUCAUUAUUAUUAUUAUGUGUUGUAACAAACUAUUAUAGUCUAGAUUAUUAAGUUUUGCAGUGUUUUUAGUGCAAUAUAUAUACAAAAAAAAAUGUAAAAAAUGCUUACUGUUUGUGAUAUAGAAGUGUGAAGCAAGAGGAGGAGGAGGAGGAGGAGGAAGAGGAAGAGGUGUAUGUCUAUGUAUGUAUGUAUGUGUGUGAGUGUCUAUGUGUAUCUGUACUGAUCUAAUUGUAUACUUUUCACUGCAAUUUCUUUAAAGCACAAUGUGUCUACUGUUGUAAUUCAAAAUGUCUCCUUUUUAUUACAUUUUCUGACUUUAUUUAUAUUUUAUCUUUUUACAUUUUAUUCCCUCUUACUGUCUCCAUGUAUGUUGUAUUGUUUGUGUGUAUGUGUGUCUGUAUUCUCUCUCUCUCUCUCUCUCUCUCUCUCUCUCUCUCUCUCUCUCUCUCUCUCUCUCUCUCUCUCUCUCUCUCUCUCUCUCUCUCUGAAUGUGAUAAUGAUUGCAUGUGUUUUAAAGUUAGUCUAAGUUACAAAGUGUGCCUCAAUUCAAUUCUUUCCCAUUUUAUUCAGAAUUUUUUUAUUUUCCAUUUUAUUCAGAGUUUUCCCUUCAUUUCAAUACUUCUUAUCACACAUGCCCUUUCCUCCAUUGUGUGUAUGUAUGUGUGUGUGUUUGUUCUGUAUCUUUGCUAAUUUUUCUUCUUGAUUUAGUAUUAUUUUAAACCCCCUAUUGUGCACAUCUUCCUCUAUGUGAUAAAUGUGUGUAUGUUUAUGAGUUAAUAAGCUUGUAUCCCCUUUAUUGUUUUUAUUUUAUUUUUGUCACAUUAUUGUCUCUAACACACAUAUCUCCCUGUGUGUGUGUGUGUGUGUGUGUGUGUGUGUGUGUGUGUGUGUGUGUGUGUGUGUGUGUGUGUGUGUGUGUGUGUGUGUGUUUAUGAGUUAAUAGGCUUGUAUCCCCUAUUAUGUUUGAAUGCUUUUAGUCUCAUUUUUACUGCUUCUAACACAUAUCUUCCUGAAUGUGAUAAUGUGUGUGUGUGUGUGUGUGAGUUUGUGAGUGUGUGUGUGUGUGUUUGAGUUUGUGAGUGUGAGUGUGAGUGUGCCUGUAUCCCCUUGUCCCGUGUUUACUCAGUGUGUUGGCGGGAAACAAGUGUCCAGCCUCCACUCCAAGCAUACACCACACGCUGCCACCCGCUUUUUUAAAUGGACAAGAUAUACAACAAAAAAAUAUACAACACUUUGGUAA